CCUACGGGUGGCAGCAGUGGGGAAUAUUGGACAAUGGGGGAAACCCUGAUCCAGCGACGCCUCGUGAGUGAAGAAGUAUUUCGGUACGUAACACUCUUUCUGCAGGAAAGAAAAUAACUGUACCUGACUAAGAAGCCCCGUCUAACUACGGGCCAGCAGCCUCGGUAAUACGUAGGGGGCAAGCGUUAUCCGGAUUUACUGGGUGUAAAGGGAGCGUAGACGGAAGGGCAAGUCGGGAGUGAAAUGCCGGGGCCCAACCCCGGAACUGCUGUGGAACCUGGGAAGCGGGAGUGCAGGAGAGGUGAGCGGAAUUCGUGGUGUAGCGGUGAAAUGCGUAGAUAUCAGGAGGAACACCGGCGGCGAAGGCGGCUUACUGGACUGUAACUGACGUUGAGGCUCGAAGGCGUGGGGAGCAAACAGGAUUAGAUACCCUUGUAGUC
rnacentral:rRNA from 1 species